ACUUCAUCUUCUUCCCAAACAUAACACCCACUCCACUGCCGCCCUCCACCUUACCAACCACAACCUAAAACGUUCAUUUUCAGGGUGCCUGCCCAAUCCGUCAAUGAAAACGAUGCCCCGGAGGAGGUCAAACACAAAGAGGAACAUUAUUGGCAUUCCACAAGACCACAACCCUAAAUUGCAUCAUUCAUUCUAAAAAUUCAAAAUCUUAAGAAAAAAUUGCUCUGAAUUUAUUCUUCUUGGCGAUUCUUUUUUGGCCUCAUCGACUAUUGCCAGUUCAGGAGGCCCAUUCACAAGGCUCAAAUCUGGCUCUGAGCGUGUCUCUGUUUCCAUUGAUAUCUACAAUCAAGGAUUCGGGUGUCGUCAAAUUCCAUCUCUUUUACGGUUUUGCUUAGAUCUGCCAUUAUUUUUUAGUUUCCUAUUAUAGAUUUUUUUUCCUUAAUUGUUUGAUUUGGAAUUUGGAUUGAUUCUGUGUUUUAUAGUUGACGAAUUUGAUUGUGAUUAUUGGAUUCAGGGUUUUGUUGUUUAAUUAAAUUUUAUUCCUUUUAUGAUAAUUAAUGACUUAGUGGGAGAAAUUGAGCUCCUGUAAAUGCCUUACGAGCAAUUGACCUGUCUUUAUUUUUAUUGAUCUUAAUUUAGAUUUUUUGAAUUGUUGCAUGAGUUUUGAUUUGAAAGUUGGAUUUAGGGGGGUGUAUUCAAUUGUGACUUUUAAAGACUUUGGGAGUUUUAAAAAAUUUCGGUGUAUUCAAUUGAGACUUUUAAAGACUCUCUAAAAAUUUGGGUGUAUUCAAUAGAGACUUUUAAAGACUUUUAAAAAGUCUCUAUAAGUUUCGAGGUAUUCAAUUAAAACUUUAUAAGAGUCUCUACAAGUUUCGAGGUAUUCAAUUAAUAAAGACUUUCGGGGAAUUAAUAUUUUCGUAGAAUCUCAGAGACUUUUGGUAGAGAAAGUCCAUAGAAUUCUCACAACACAAAUCUCUCAUCCAACGAGAGAUUUCUCACAAGCCGGCCGAUUGUUCUUCUUCUAGGGUUUCUCCUCCAUCUCUUUCAAUCAGGUAAUCACGAUUUCCACCUCUCUAUCUCUCCCUCUAUGAGUAUUUUGUUUGAUUUAUGGAUAAACUCAUCUCCAAAAUUGCAAACUAGAAGCAAGCAGUUCUGGAGAUUUUUUACCCGCAGGAAAGCACGUUUUCCGGCCUGAAAUUCAACACCCUCGACAAUCUUUAACUAUUUUAUAUAGAGCCACACUUUUCUAUAACCAUAUAAUUUAAUACAUCAACAAACAAAGCUGCGACGUUGAAUUCCUCGAAUCUGGCUGGGGUUAUUAAUGGUUUUAAUGAAAGAUUUUGUCAUAUGUGAGAAACUUUUUCGACGUGUCCAUUCUAAUUAAUAGUGUUAAUUCAAGUCAAAAGACAGCAUCAUUAAUGUGUGUCGAUUUCUUCAAUCUGACUAGAGCUCCAUUAUUUUAUCGUAUUAUUUCUCAAAUUUUGAAUAUUGAGGAGGGUUGUUAUGUAUGUAUGUAUGUGUCUGUGUGUAUAAUAUGUUAUUAUAAUUCAAGUUUUGAAGUUAUGAUCUUUUCACCUGGGGUCAUGAAUUUAUCAUUUUAGUUUAAUGGUUAUGAGUUAAACAUUGUGUGUAUAAUAUGUUAUUAUAAUUCAAGUUUUGAAGUUAUGAUUUUUUCAAUGGAGUUAUGAAUUUAUCAUUUUAGUUUAAUGUUUAUGAGUUAAACAUAUAGAAUUUCAUGGUUAUUAGAUCUAAAAGAUGAGGCUUGAUAAAUCUAAGUGGUAAUUAAUUCUUACCUACUGAACAUAAAGAGAUCACAAAUGAAUCGGUGCAAGGAUAUGGUUGCAAAUUUAAGGUUAAAAGUAAACCAGAUGGCUUCCACAUUGAACAUGUCAAACUUUACAAUUAGGGACAGCUUACUCGGGCCAGAAAUUAAGCCGGCUGAUGCAAUGAGCAGAACAACUGGGCUUGACAACUGUGUGGAUUUUUGGUUUCAUUUAUUAUUUUCAUUUGAAUUCUUGAUUUUUGAUGUGUUGAAUCGAUCCUAAAUAUUCAUUUUGCUAAAUUUUCAUUGAUGUUGUUCAGGUUAUAGAGACUGGUAUGAAACCAGACGGUAUUUAUGGAUGACAAUUCAAGCAAUUCUCUAUGUGAUAAAUGAUCUUGUAAAUAAUAUGCAUUGUGCACGUAUUACACGUUCACUAACUAGACGACCGAAAACUAGAUAUGGAUAUGACUAUAUACAUAAAAUAUUAAAGGAGGAUCCAGAAAACUUUCGACAAGUUUAUAGAAUGUAUCCAGAUAUAUUUCUAAAAUUAAGCAAUAUUAUUAGAGAAAAAACACCCUUACAGGAUACUAGGUAUAUUUGUGUUGAAGAAAUGCUUGCAACGUUCCUACUUAUUGUUGGUCAGAAUACUAGAUAUUGCUUGAUUCGUCAAAAAUUUGGUCGAUCACAUUUCACUACUAGCCGAAGUUUCAACAAGAUUUUACAGACAUUAAACAAAUUUGCGGUAGAUAUGAUGGUCAAACCGAGAUUCGUUGUGCCAGAAAAAAUAAGGGAAAGUACAAGAUUUUAUCCAUACUUUAAAGUAAGUGAUGAAAUAAGACGUAUUAUAAUUUUUCUUUUAUCUUUUCAUUAGUGUUCUCAUGAAUUUGUUGUACUGUUUUAUUAUUUUUUGGAUUGUAUUGGAGCUAUUGAUGGUACCCAUAUUCCAGCAAUGGUAACUGGACGUGAUACAAGCAGUUACAGAAAUCGUCAUGGAACAAUUUCUCAGAAUGUUUUGGCCGGUUGUAACUUUGAUUUGGAAUUUAUAUACGUGAUUAGUGGGUGGGAGGGAUAAGCACAUGAUUCUAAAGUGUUGAGUGAUGCUUUAACAAGAAGAAAUGGACUUAAAGUGCCACAAGGUAAAUAUUUUUUGGGAGACUGUGGAUUUCCAAAUCGACUUCAGUUUUUAACUCCUUUUCGAGGUGUCCGUUAUCAUCUUCAAGAUUUUGCCGGUCAAGGUCGUGACCCUGAAAAUACAAAAGAGUUGUUUAAUCUUCGUCAUGCUUCCUUAAGGAACGUAGUUGAGAGGAUAUUUGGUAUAUUUAAAUCAAGAUUCACAAUU